AUGCACGCUGGCGGCGUGCCUAAUACAUGCAAGUCGAGCGAACAGACGAGGAGCUUGCUCCUCUGACGUUAGCGGCGGACGGGUGAGUAACACGUGGAUAACCUACCUAUAAGACUGGGAUAACUUCGGGAAACCGGAGCUAAUACCGGAUAAUAUAUUGAACCGCAUGGUUCAAUAGUGAAAGACGGUUUUGCUGUCACUUAUAGAUGGAUCCGCGCCGCAUUAGCUAGUUGGUAAGGUAACGGCUUACCAAGGCAACGAUGCGUAGCCGACCUGAGAGGGUGAACGGCCACACCGGAACUGAGACACGGUCCAGACUCCUACGGGAGGCAGCAGUAGGGAAUCUUCCGCAAUGGGCGAAAGCUUGACGGAGCAACGCCGCGUGAGUGAUGAAGGUCUUCGGAUCGUAAAACUCUGUUAUUAGGGAAGAACAAAUGUGUAAGUAACUAUGCACGUCUUGACGGUACCUAAUCAGAAAGCCACGGCGAACUACGG
rnacentral:rRNA from 1 species